AUGAAAAUCAUUCUUGAAAUGGCAAAGAUUUCUGCGGCUAGAUCAUGGGAUUUAUUGAGUGGAGCAAUUUCUCCUCAGGGGACCAGACACAUAGGACUCUACAGUUUGAUAGUCAGAUAUGGAGCAACCAUGAAAAUAUUUUCUAACACUCAGAGUUUGCUGAUAUUUGAAAAACAAGGAACAUAAACACACACAAUCUGCUUUCAAGGUGAAAUUAUGGGUGGAUUGGAGUAGGAUUAAUGUUACCAACACAGAAAACUGACUCUCAUUUAGAGCCUUUGGCAUUGAGCUGAUCCAUAAAGAUAUCACCAGCAUCAACAUCAUCAUCAUUAUCAUCAAGAGGCCUGCGAGGCCUACUUUAUCCAUUACAUUUAUUAUAUCCACGGAACACGUGUUAUUAUCACCGAAGUGGCACCAGGGACUUAGAGAGCUUAUCUCAAUUUAUGUCUGCAUUUACUGAAUAGCAAAUGGAUUAAGAAUUUUAGAAGCUGCAAAUAGGCUGGCAAAUGCAGAUGGGCUGGGACUAUAAGAAAAUGUAAUAAACUUCUAAUAAAACAUUUGAGCAAACACACAUCUGUGGACAGAUGGGAGGCAUUAUGUAAUACAAGUCAUUGCUACAGAAAGCCCUAAACGAUCCCCUCACCUCUCCACCCCCGCCAACCCACCCCUACCCCCCGCCCCGCCCCGAUCCUGCUGUUGGGCCAAGGUUAAGGGUAAAAGGCCUCUGUAAGUUUUCCUUCUCUGUCAGCAUCCAGAGAAAGUAUUUUUAAUCUUUCUAAGAUGAACUGUUAAAAUAGACAGCCUUUGACCCACACCCACGAAAACACAAAAAAACCACAAAA
rnacentral:lncRNA from 1 species